rnacentral:rRNA from 1 species
GCCAAUGCAUGCUUUUACAGUAUGGAAAUUGGUGAUUUAUAAUAACUUGGCAAAUCGCAAAGUGAAAACAGGCGAUAAAUCAUUCAAGUUUCUGACCUAUCAGCUUUCGACGGUAUGGUAUUGGCUUACCGUGGCAGUGACGGUUAACGGGGGAUUAGGGUUCGACUCCGGAGAGGGAGCCUGAGAAACGGCUACCACAUCUAAGGAAGGCAGCAGGCGCGCAAAUUACCCAAUUCUAACAGUUUGAGAGAGGUAGUAACAAGAAAUAACAAUACAAGGCAAUUAAAAUGUUUUGUAAUUGGAAUGAUAGAAAUUUAAACCCUUUUUAAAGUAUCAAUUGGAGGGCAAGUCUGGUGCCAGCAGCCGCGGUAAUUCCAGCUCCAAUAGCGUAUAUUAAAAUUGUUGCAGUUAAAAAGCUCGUAGUUGAAGUUCUGCUAAAAGUAACCGGUCUGCUUUUAAUAAAAGUGGUAUCUUGGUGUGUAUUUAGCAAUGAUGUCCUUUGAAGUGUUUUUUACUUUAUUGUAAUAAAGCAUAUUCAGGACUUUUACUUUGAGAAAAUUAGAGUGUUUCUAGCAGGCCGACGCGUUUGAAUACUGCAGCAUGGAAUAAUAAGA